rnacentral:rRNA from 1 species
AUUGAACGCUGGCGGCAUGCCUUACACAUGCAAGUCGAACGGCAGCACGGGGGCAACCCUGGUGGCGAGUGGCGAACGGGUGAGUAAUACAUCGGAACGUGCCCGGUAGUGGGGGAUAGCUCGGCGAAAGCCGGAUUAAUACCGCAUACGACCUACGGGUGAAAGCGGGGGAUCGCAAGACCUCGUGCCAUCGGAGCGGCCGAUGUCAGAUUAGGUUGUUGGUGGGGUAAAGCCACCAAGCCGACGAUCUGUAGCUGGUCUGAGAGGACGACCAGCCACACUGGGACUGAGACACGGCCCAGACUCCUACGGGAGGCAGCAGUGGGGAAUUUUGGACAAGUGGGCGAAAGCCUGAUCCAGCCAU